UUCAGUAUAGGCGAUUGAUUUAGCGGCCGGAUUCGCCCUUGUGCCAGCAGCCGCGUAAUUCCAGCUCCAAUAGCGUAUAUUAAAGUUGCUGCGGCUAAAAAGCUCGUAGUUGAAACUUGGGCCUGGCUGGCAGGUCCGCCUCGCCGCGUGCACUGGUCCGGCCGGGCCUUUCCUUCUGCGGAACCCCAUGCCCUUCACUGGGCGUGGUGGGGAAACAGGACUUUUACUUUGAAAAAAUUAGAGUGCUCCAGGCAGGCCUAUGCUCGAAUACAUUAGCAUGGAAUAAUAGAAUAGGACGCUGCGGUUCUAUUUUUGUUGGGUUACUAGGGACCCGCCCGUAAAUGAUUAAAUAGGGACAGUCGGGGGGCAUCAGUAAUCCACUUGUCAGAAGUUGAAUUCUUGGAUCAUAUUGGAGGACUAACCUACCUGCGAAAAGAUUUUGGCAAGGAUGGUUUUCCAUUAAUCAAGGAACACAAAAUAGAGGGAUCGCAAAAGAAUCAGAUAUCGCCGCAGACUUAUACAUGAAAUAUGUCGAGUAGAGAUCGGACGGGGUUAUUCUUUUUCCCGCUCGCUCGCUUACGAGAAAGCAAACAGAUUGUUUGCCAUCUGGAGAUGGGUCGCACGCUGAAACUUAAAUGAAAUGACGGAAGGGCAGCACCCGGCGAGGAGCGUGCCGUGUAAUUUGAUUCGACUCGGGGAAGAUCAACUGGCCCAGACCAGAUAAAGAAAUGGAAAGAAUGAGAGCCCUUUCCCUGUCUUUGUUUUUUGGGGGGGGCGUGGCCGGUCCUUAUUUAGGUGGGGGAAUUUGUCUGUUUAUUUUCGAUGACGAAACGAAACCUUACCCUUGCUAAAGAAGACCGGGCUUGCCUCGGCUGGGGCGCGGCGUCGUUUAAGGAAAUUUUUGUUUU
rnacentral:rRNA from 1 species